CUUGGCAGCAACUGUGUUCCUUUAGAGCAAGCGCCGGCCUGAAUCCUGCAAUGGAUGGUGCUGGGCCAUGGGUGCUGGGUGCUGAGCUUCUGGCAGCCUGAUGAGGCGCCUCAUCCUACACCGCUGCAUCCCACAGCACCUGCACCGGGGAGCAAUCGAUAUCUCUAAAUGCAUUAGGUGCUUCUCAGCUGCACCAGCACCAAGCCUCAGCAAACGCCGCUCUUAUUCCCUGCUGCCGAUGCUGGCCCAGGCAGAGCUCCCCAAGGAACACAAAACUCUGAAUAACAAACAGCGUGAGCAAAACCAACUCGCCGUUUUGUGAUGCCUCCCACGCCGCCGUGUCUCACAGUGCCUCACAAAGUGUUUCAUUGCGUGUUAGCAUUGGAAAAAACUCUGCAUUUUGCUGCGUGCCAAGGCACCGAACUUUGCAGGUGGGCUUCCAGCGAGCCGGACAGGAGCCAGGUGCAGAGCAGGGACUGUCCCCCCACAGGGGACACAGAGGCUACGUCCCAGGAACAGGAAUUAACUGUGCACACACAAAGAGUUUUAAACUGGAGCUUGCAACAGAUACUUUGCUGCUGGCUGCAAGGCAUUGUCUUCAUCACCACCACCUGGUCUGUGGCCACCACCAGCCACCCCCAGCCACCACCAGCCACCCUCGGCCACCACCAGCCACCCUCGGCCACCACCAGCCACCACCAGCCACCACCAGCCACCACUGGCCACCACCAGUCACCACCAGUCACCGCCGGUGCCUUUCUGGGGAGACGAGCACAUUUCUGGUCCCGUAAGCCCCGCAGCUGCGGUGAAGAUGUUUAUUUGUGCUGUGGUGGCACUACAACCCCCAGCUAUGUACCAGGAUCCAAUUAUGUCAAGUACUCGCUGAUUUAACGAGGCAUUCUGGAGGCGGGGGCGGGCAGACGGCUGCGGAAAGCUGCUGCACUCGUUGCAGAAGACGAGGCUCUGGGGGACUUGUGCUGGGCGAACUCAGAGCAGGGGGAGGCCGGGACCUCCUGCUGCCAGCUCAUUGCCCCUCGCCCCUCCAGGAGCAGCCCUGGAGCAUUUAUGGUGCUGCUGCACCAAGGGGAUGGAGCUGGCACCCAAAGGUGCUCGUGUUCCCUCCCAGCAGUCUCCCAGCACACAGGAGCAGAGGCAGGUCCGUGGGUCUCCAACAACCAUCAUCUCCUGGCUGGUCAGGAAAGAACCUUCAAAAAAUAAUUGAGCGAAAUCUGAAGCUUCCAAAUGCUUUUGUUUGCUUUUUUAUAAGAAAUCCUUAUUCCAUGCACUUCUGGCAUCAGGAGCUCUAGCAAAAGUCAAUGGCUGCAGCUGUUAGGGAGCAGAAAUACACUUUACAUGCAAAAUAUUGACACGCACUAUUGAAGGACGGCG
rnacentral:lncRNA from 1 species